CUGUUCACGUGCCUGUGACUCAUGUGGUCUGAGUGUAUAUGUACGACCUGGUUUUCGACAAUAAACAGUGUUGGAAGUUAGCGCUGUGUGUGUCCCUUUGUGUCUUCUCUUGUCCCGUCUUUGAAUCGCGCUACCAUACUCCCCUUGAAGAUGCAUUACCAACAAGCCCACAUUGCAACCCUUGUGCCUCUCAGAAAGUGGUUUUGGCACGUAAAACCCCAUAAUUUAAUCACGCUAGUAAUAAUGUCGACCGUCGACGCGAGCGUCGAAAAAAAAACAAAAGAAUUUGAAAGGAAGUAGAGAGACACUGUUUUAUUCUUUUUUUAUAUAUAUUUCCCGGCUAAAACUGAAAAACUUAUGUGCGUAUAAAUGAAGUUAUACUUUGCGACUUACUUUUGCUGCGUCACCUAGCGACAGGCCAAUGACGAGUCAGGUGCAUGCGUCAGACACGCCGCGGAAGGGAGCGAGGCCACGGCUAUAUGUAUUCUAGGCACUAUACCACGGCUGCACGUGUGAACGUUGACCUGUUCGGCGACCCCUCUGACUGUUCUCCUUUCUUUUUUUUCUUUGGAGUUAGCCUGACAUUUUCGGCUCCAGGCGUAUUCUCGCGUUCCUUCUGCACCUCUACACGGCAGCGCUGCAAUAUUGAACUACGGCAAGCUGACGCCGUCCGGUGGAGCUCCGUACGUGAACUACUGCUGCUUACCUGGUGUCACAACGUUGGAUGCAUGCACAAAAAGCCCGGAAGGAGCAUUUAUAUAGAGUACAAUAAACAUUUCCACAUUUCAGAA